rnacentral:rRNA from 2 species
UAACGGCGAGUGAAGCGGUAAAAGCUCAAAUUUGAAAUCUUCGGAAUUGUAAUUUGAUGGGUAGAAUUGCUAUUAAAAAAAGUUCAUUGGAAUAUGACGCCACAGAGGGUGAUAGCCCCGUUAAUUAAAAGCACUAUAAUUCUAUUCCUAAGAGUCGGGUUGUUUGGGAAUGCAGCUCAAAGUGGGUGGUAAAUUCCAUCUAAAGCUAAAUAUUGGCGAGAGACCGAUAGCGAACAAGUACAGUGAUGGAAAGAUGAAAAGAACUUUGAAAAGAGAGUGAAAUAGUACGUGAAAUUGUUGAAAGGGAAGGGAAAGGGGGAGAUAAUUCAAGAAAAUACUUCUG